UACAUGGGGUUAGCCAUUCUAUGGCCCAACAAGCCAUCCAACCUUCUCCAUCUCCGCCUCCUCCCCGAAGCGCAGCCACGCCCUCGCUCCUCCUCCAUCUCCGCCUCCUCCCUGAAGCACAACCACGCCCUCGCUCCUCCUGAAGCGCCACCAGCCUACCUCGAUCUCCGCCGCCACCUCCCACCCCUACCUCCGCGGUGGUCCUGCGCCCCCUCUACCCCGACCUCCAGCGACAGUCCUCCCAUCCCGAUCUCCACCAAUGGUCCUGCGUCCUCACCACCCGACCUCUGGAGAAGCUCUGAUGACCCACCUCCCUCCCCGACCUCCACUGCGCUCCCGCGCUCUUCACCGUGGUCACGCCCCCAUCCAUGCCGGUAGUUCAUGCUGGAUUAGGAGGUUGUACACGUACGUCUAUAUUUAUGUUCAAGUCGAGCUUCGUGGAUCUGAAGGCAUAUACUUGGAGUAUAUAUCUAGCAUAUCAAGCUACCGGAGACAACCAGUACUUCAUUGAAAUAAUAACAACAAUAUCAUCGUUUUGUCCAAAUGACAUCGUCCAUGUAUACUGAUGUGGUUGGCACUCACCACAGGUAGUCGCUCCCCCCAUAGAUGAACUGUUUUAUCUCUGUAGCUAUUUUUGAAUAAAACUGGUCAUGUAUAGCAUGCAUACCUUCUGGCUAUAUAGAAGUCGAGGUGCCUAUGUGGGCUGCAAAAACAGAGGGCGUCCCCGACUUGGAUUUUGUGUCCUGGUCGAGCACGUCAUUAAUUAAUGGGCGUUGGACAUGGACUCCACAUGGAACGCUCUCUUUGACACAUAAACGAUGGCCUCAAGCCCCUAUGUGGAAGUAUUCAGCUUUGCCGUUCUACCAUUUUCUCUAUAAGAACGAUGUACAAUUUUGAUGGAACACUAACCGCCAGUGCUACACCCGAGGUACACCAUUGUAUAAUCCACAUGCCAAACCAUGAGUAAAGUAGCAAGCUAUUAUGUUUCAAAAUUUAUUUGGAAGAGCAUGUGUUUUGGGUUUUAUACUUCACCAUGAUCUUUUACUGUGUGCCUGCAACCAUAGCUUCUAUCGUCAUUAACUUGCCAUAUACGGAUAGUCUGCAGAGUUUACAAACAAGAGUGAAACCAAUAAUGAUGGUUGAUGAUUAUGGUAUGAUUGCCGGAUUAAUAAUUCAGAACAAGAAAGCUAUUUUACUAGAAAAGCUGCUCCCGCGCUCUUCACCGUGGUCACACCCCCAUCCAUGCCGCUCUACUCCCUGAACACCCAUGAGAGCUCCGCCAUCCUGUGAGGGGAGCAAGUCGAGGUGCCUAUGCGGGCUGCAAAAAUGGAGGGCGUCGCCAACUCUGAUGUUUUGUCCUGCUCAAGCACGUCAUUAAUGUGUGUUGGAGAUGGACUCGACAUGGAACACUCUCUUUGCCACAUCAAAGAUGGCCUCAAGCCCCUAUACAGAAGUAUCCAAUCUUGCUGUUCUACAAUUUUCUCUGGAACAACGAUGUACAACUUCGACGGAACAGGACCGCCAGUGCUCCACCUGAGAAUAAACUUCUCACGAGUGAAAUUACUUCUGGCGUUGCAAUGUAGCUAGAUUGGAGAGAAACAUGAUAGCAUCUUAAUAAUCCAGUAAGAUUGUAAACCAGUUUUUUAAUGGGGGCAGUUUUUCGGUUGGACGGAAGUAACUCCACUCGCUAGGAGGGCUUGGUGGUAAUAUACAAGGCCGUGAAGCAUUUUUCAUGUAACUGGUAGUGAUCUAAGUCACAUGUUAUUACAAUGGAUGCUACUACAACAUUUCCGUAUAAAUGUAUGCCACUGAUCUUUGCAUAUAUAUUACACUCCAUUUGUAAAUAAAUAUAAGAUGUUUUAAUAUGUUUCUACUACUA